UCCACCCGUCUGUCUCUGCAGGAGGAGAAACAUCGACUGGAGAGUCAGCUGUCCGGGAUUCCCAAGAUGCAACAGAGACUGGCCGAGCUGUGUGGGCUUCUGGGAGAGAGAGAGGGGGAGGGGGGUGAGGAAGAGGAGGAGAGGGGGAUGAAGAGUGAAGAGGAGGAGGAUGAGGAGUGAACUACAGAUGAAGAGGAGUCACUCUCCUGAGUUUAACUCCGAGUCUCUGUUGGAAGAAAUCUGCUGCUCUUACUGGUUACCGUGGAGAGAGACACACACACACACACACACACACACAGUGAUUUUAAACUCAGUGGACUCUGCAGUCUGGAUCAUGAAGGGGGUCAGCAGUGAUCCAGAUCAGAACUGGUGUCAUGAAGCUGGUUUACUGAUCAGCUGGAAAAAAUAAAAGAGACAACAUGUGACAGUGACAGGUGACGUGUCUGACAAAUAAUAGGUGACGCGACAGUGACGGACGACAGGUGACAGUGACAGAUGACAGUGGCAGAUGACAAGUGACAGGUGACAGUGGCAUGUGACAGGUACAGGUGACAGAUGACAUGUGACAGUGACAGGUAAAGGGGGCAGUGACAGAUGACAGUGGCAUGUGACAGUGACAGGUACAGGUGACAGAUGACAGGUGACAGUCACAGGUGACAGUGCCAGAUGACAUGUGACAGUGACAGAUGACAAGUGACAGGUGACAGUGGUAUGUGACAGGUACAGGUGACAGAUGACAUGUGACAGUGACAGGUAAAGGGGACAGUGACAGAUGACAAGUGACAGGUGACAGAUGACAUGUGACAGUGACAGGUACAGGUGACAAAUGACAGGUGAAAGUGACAGGUGACAGUUGAGAGUGACAGCAGACAGAUGACAUGUCACAGAUACAGUUGGCAGAUGAUAGGUGACAAAGCUGAGCUCAGCUCCACUAACAUGAGUCCAUUGUUAAAUCUGUAUUCAGUUUGAUCUGAUUUGGUGACUGAAGAUUUAUAAUUAACAGCUGAUUGUCAAAAUAAUUAUUGUUUUUAUAACAGAGUUUAGUUUUUCAUAGAUUUUUAAUAAUAUCAUCGUACCACAUGUUAAGAUAGCUCCUAUUACUCGCCUUGUGCAUACACCAAAAAAAGUUUCUGGCCUCCUGGUUUACCUUGAGGGUAUGCAGCUCACUGAACAUGUGCAGUGAUAUUUCUCCUACUGGCCCCGCCCACAAGUUCCCGCUCAGCUCAUAGACUUUACAUUGUGAUGAUGUCACAGAUUUUUAAAUCACUUCUCGGCUCAUAUAAAACUUCCAUGGAUCAAAACUUUAAAGUAGAAAGAGUCACGUCAGGUUUCCAGCUAUCUGAUUGGUCUGUGUUCUGAUCUGUUACCAUGGUGAUCUGUGAGCCAGCUUCAUGACACCAGAGAGUCUGACGGCAGUGAUGUCAGCGAUGAUGUCAACAGUAAUGAAAAAGCCUCCUUUUGUUUCGAUAAAAAAUCAAUUCUCUUAUCAAUAUUAGAGUUUCAGGGUCAAUAACUGAUGUUUAUCUAACGAAUGAAAAUUAAUCUAUUUUUAGAUGGACAGGUUUAUUUUACUAAUACAACACAAAUAUUAAUAAUAAAGAUAAAUAUUUAUAUUCAGAUCUUAUUGACGAGCACUUACUAGAACUGAUCAAUAACUGCCUGAUGGUCACUAAUCAGCCAUCGAUAAUGUGUUCAUGUUGAAACCACUGAGAGUUCUCUGCUGUGAUUGGCCGACAGACGGUCGAAGUGAACGCCUGUGACCAUAGAUACAGAAACACAGGUGCCUCAUUGGCCGCUGGAUCAUAUGUCAAAGACGCCGCCAUAUUGGAGAGGUCAAGACUUCCUGUACACAAAUGACAGUAAACAGAAGCUGCUGUUUUACUGAUUUAAAAUCACUGUAAUGUUUAUAUUUCUCAACCGACUGCAAUGAGUUGUUUUUAUAUUAAUGGGUUUAUGAUUGUUGUGUGUAGACAAGAUAAAAGUUUUGUCUCUAGUUUAUUAUAAUGUUGAUAUUUAGUCUAUAAUCACUGCUGGACGCUCAGCAGAGGAGUGUUAGACUGACAGGAACUGAAUUACUGACGUGCUGGAAAAUAUUUUAUUGUCAUGUAAAACUGUAAAAUCUGACAUCUGUCAAACAUGAAUUUUUCCUUGCUUAAUAUUUGUGGAGACGUCCCUAUAUAAUCUAAUUUUAUGUGAAAGUAGGCAACUCAUCAAAUAGCUAGCAUGCUAGCAAGCUAACGCUGUCCGGUUAUUAACUCCUUGAUCAUAACAGAAUAUAUUAACUUUCAUCACCGAGGACACUGAAGACAACAUGUUCUCUAUUUAUGUUGUGUAACUGUCCUGUAGACUGGUCUCCCUCUGCGUCCUGCCGUAGCGCUGUUUACUCUCUGUCUUGCGUUACGUGAUUAACCAGGCACAGACUUUCUCUCUUUGGCUCCAACCAGCCAUUCAUUGACGGGGACGGCACACUGGUGACACCACAGUGACAUCAGAUCUCACAGCAGCCCCUCGUGGUAAUGAGCUCCAUAAAUUGUUUAACCACAGAAAGAAAGAAGUCUUUCAGCCAGCAGUCAGUGAGCAGGAAACACUGCAGAUUUUUUCUGAGACAACAUGCGAGCUACCAAAGUCACAGUGUGGCAAGCCCAAUAAAUGACUUCACAGCACGACAGUAUUGGCACCAAAACACUUGAUACUGAAUGAAGACGUCUUUUUUUAGCAUUGUGAAGUGUCAGACAUGGAAGUUUUACAAGGGAUGCACGAUAAUAUCGGCAUGUCAUCAAUAUCAGCUGAUAUCAUCUUUUAAGUGAACUCUCAAUCAGCCAACAUGCUUUUUCCUAUUUAUCACAAUGAAUGAAUAUCACAGACACUGAACAGUGUUUCAUGUCUCCACCUGCUGGUGGGCCGUCACCAUCACAGUCUGUAUAAUAUGAUGUUAAUCCACUACAGAAGAGACUUGAUGAUGAUCACUCACAUCAGGAGGGGAAAAUAGUGCAUAUAUCAAUAUCAGUAUUGGUUAUUGGUCAGAUGAGUUCAGAUAUCAUGUUGGAUAUCUGCAAAAAAUCCAAUAUGGUGCAUCCCUGAAUUUUACAACUCAACAAAAACAGUGUUUUAUACAUUUUCAGAGAGCUAAUCAGAAACCACGAUGACAACAGACUGGCAUUUAUAAACGGGGUGUCCCAUUCAAGUUUGCAGGGAUUGAUCUGUGGGGCGCACCCUGCGGUCUGCAGAGGCCCAGCAGAGGGCACUCACUGAUAACACCAGUCCCAGUGGAAAACUAUUAAAUAAAAACUAUACAGUAUUGAUAAAAAAUAAGAUAACUACUGCUACACAGGUACGGGAAAAUAAAAGGCUUGAUAACAACAGCACGCUAGCUACGUUAGCUACAGCUCAUUGCUGGCAGCCAGAAACAAACAUCUAUGAUCCAUCGUCCAGUUGAUCAUCUAAAUCAAGAACAUGUUUUCUCUCUAAAAUGAGCGGUGGUGAAAGUUACUUUAUUCUGUUGAUUGAAGAGUUAAUGAUCAGCAGACAGAGCUAACAUGCUAGUUAUCUACUUCCACAUUAGAUUAUAGUCUAUAGAGACGUCUCCACAAAUAUUAACCAAGAAAAAUAAUCUAAUCCAUGUGAGAUUUUACAUCCCUCAUCACAACUGACCUAUGGCUAAGCCACGCCCCCUCCACUCACCUGGACAAACUAUCAACAUUCAGUGAGCGGCGCUAUGGCAGGUGUCACAGUACACGGCAUUUCACAGGAGGCAGUUGAUGAUUUUUGGAGACAUAACGAUCAGAUGUCAUUGAGAAGUAACCAAAAGGGCCUAAACUACGCAUUGGAGGGAUAUAUUCAUCAUUUUAUUGUUGAGAAGGUCGAUGAAAAGCUUAAAUUACAAGCCAACAUUUACAGGUCACAGUGUACGCUUGUGAACCGCAUCUGGUUGCCGUCACCAUCAAAGACAACAAGUUAAAGUGCCACUGAAGUUAAGGUUUUUGGCUCAGAAUAUGAGAAAAGGAUAACGGCCUUUUUACCAUCUUUACCAAGAGUGUCUCUCCGUUAGUUUGGUGCUACAGUAUUUACACUGAAUCAUUCAGCAUAACGUUUGCCAACCUUUGUUAUCUCUGCCAUUACAGAUAAGUUAAUGAAGCUAAGCUCCAGAAGUUAACGUUAGCUUAACUAGAGCCCUUUGGACAACAGCUAACAAUGAUGUACCAUCACCAAAGUACAAAACUAGAACAAAAUAGGCUAAUGAACUCCCAGCAAACAAGGUGACAUGAUGAACAACGCAGCUAGGAGCUAACGUUAGGCUAACUUUAGCUAACGUUAGCUAGAGAUGUUAAAGAUAACUUUAUAUUUCUUUGCAGCAAAGUGACAAUAUGUUGCCUCAAACACAAUGUUGACUUACCUUAGAACAGAUGUAGACAUCAUUGUUAAUCUUAUUCACGUUGAGUUGAUGUUGUGGUCUAACGUUACCACACAACUUUAUCCAAAGGAGACACUUUUCUCGCUUGAGAUGUGGUUUAAAGUGUAAAAAUACACCUGGUCGCCCAGCCUCUCAGGAUACCUUGUGUCAGAGUUGCAUGUACCCCAUGCACACCGUUUGACCAUUUUUAAACUUCAAAUCUCUGAAAAAGCUGUGAUUGGCUCAUCGCGUUUGAGGGUGGGACUUAGCCAUAGGUCAAUUGCUAUUUUACACCAUGAAAAUAAUUGAGUGAUUCAUUAUAGACUAAAUAUCAAGAUUCUACUGAACUGGAGACCAAACUCUUUUCUGAUACACAUAGAUCAUGGACCCAGGAAUAUAAAAACGAAUUCAUUGUGGUCGACUGAGAAACAUAAACAUUAAAGCUCUGCUUUUUACUGUCAUUUGUUUACAGGAAGUCUUGCUCUCUCCAAUAUGGCGGGGUCGCUGACAUGUCACAGCAAUGGGCUGACACAGUCAAUGUGGCGUCUGCGUGUUCAUGUCUAUGUCUGUGACGAUCACUGAUCAAUGUGCCUGUAUUUGUGAGUCUGUCAGAACACAGGUGACCUACACUCUGUACUGUACCUGAACGCCUCCUGUGUAUCAUUAUUCUAUGUUUCAUAAAGGCUGAUAUUUCAGUCUGUUUCCAUGGUUACGGUGGAGACGGGAAGUGCCAACAGUGACUUUACAAAGACUCUGAGGUCAUGAUGAGGUCAUGUGACACUGUAGAUUGUGCCAACUAUAAGAUUAUUAACUGUUAAUAUAAUCAAUCAGUUUGUAUUCAGCUGAUCAAUAAAUCAAUCAAUCUGCUGCUGGAGACUUUCAAUAAAACUUUAUUUUAAUGUGUUUGACGACAGAGACGUUUGUAUUGACUGUGUGAGGAUGAUGAUGAUGAUGAGGAUGAUGAUGAGGAUGUUUAGAACUUUACUCAGUAGAAAAUGAAAAAUAACGACCGUCGUUUGUCCGGAGCUUUUCACAAUAAAGUUUUAAAGAAGGAUUCACCUUUUUAUAUUAUUGAUUAUUGAUUAUAUUACAGUGUAUUUUCAUGUUUAGAGUUUAAUGAUGAAGAUGUUUAUAUUGCCUCUGUGAUGGUCAGAUGAUGAUGAUGAUGAUGUCAGAGGAUGAUGAAGAUGAAAUAUGGUUUUAAUAAAGAGUUAAAUCUGAA